rnacentral:RNase_P_RNA from 1 species
GGAGCGGGUCGCGCUGCCGCGGCGGAGGAGAGAUUCUUCGCCGAGGAAAGUCCGGGCUCAACAGGGCGCGAUGCCGGAUAACGUCCGGGACGGAUUCGGACCGGAGCCUAUGGCGCCAAGGCCGAAUCCGGACAGAAAGUGCCACAGAAAACAUACCGCUACCCCGUCUCGUUUCGAGAUGGGCAGUAAGGGUGAAAAGGCGAGGUAAGGGCUCACCGCAUAUCCGGCGACGGAUAUGGCAGGGCAAACCUCAUCGUGAGCAAGGUCGAACAGCGGUGGACGGCCCGUCCACAACCGCCUUAGGGCGGCGAAAACCGCGGGUAGACCGCUUGACGUCCGGCGGCAACGACGGAUGCAGAGGGAUGGCAGCGGCGCGGGGAAUCCCGCGCACAGAACCCGGCUUACAGACCCGCUCCUUUU